ensembl:snRNA U1 U1 spliceosomal RNA
GAACUUACUGUCGGGAGAUACCAUGAUCAUGGAGGUGGUUUUCCUGGGGUGAGGCUUAUCCAUUGUACUCCGGAUGUGCUAAACCCUGCGAUUUCUGCAAAUGUGGGAAACUUGACUGCAUCAUUUGUGGUGGUGGGGGACUGUGUUUGCACUCUCACCUG